CGAGAUAAGCAGCGUGAUCAUAUCGUUGACCUCCUGCAUGAGACGGCGGGGCUCGAACCUGAAUCUAGCUCUGUUAAAUGCUAUUCUGUCGUAGCCAUCGUUGGUCUAGGAGGAGCUGGGAAGACGACUCUUGCACAAUAUGUCUGCGAUUAUGAAAGAGAAGCAGUAGUCAAGCAUUUCAAUGUCAUCAUGUGGGUUCAUGUAUCUAAGAGAUUGGAUGUCGAACAGUUGACAAAAAAGAUGGUGGAGUCGGCAUCUCGAGAGGAAUGCCCUCGCCUUGAUAAUCUCGACACCCUUCAAGUAAAAUUGGAAGGUUCCCUAAGAUCAAAAAAGUUUUUACUUGUAUUGGACGAUGUAUGGAGCGAGAAAGAGGUGGCCGAGUUGCAAUGGGAGCAGUUGCUCGCUCCUUUACGAGUGGGCAAUAGAGGAAGUAAGAUCUUAAUGACGACCCGCGAGCGGGGAGUAGCGGAGGCCUUACGCGCUAGAAACAUUCUAGACCUAAAGGAGCUAGAAAAAAGUGACUUCUUGUCCUUGUUCACGUACUAUGCUUUUGAUGAUGCCAAAAUUGAUGAUAUCAAGCUAUACGAGGAAUUGGAAGAGAUCGUGAGGCAGAACACACCGAAGCUGCAUGGCUCUCCCUUAGCGGCGAGAAUGGUUGGUAGCCAACUACGCAGAAGGCCGGAUGUGAACUUUUGGAAGAGGAUUUUGAGUGGAGACCUAUUGAAAGACACUAUGAAGUCUCUAUUGUGGAGUUAUCAAAACUUAGAUGCACCAUUACAAAGAUGCUUCUCAUAUUGCAGUCUAUUUUCUAAGGGUCAAGGAAUCCGGCGGGACAAGUUAAUUCGCCUGUGGAUCGCGGAGGGCUUCAUCAAGACAGUGGAUAAGAGCAAGAGAAUUGAGGAUGUAGGCCGAGAGUACUUUGAUGAUUUGCUAUCCAGCUCUUUCUUUCAACCAACAAAGGACGAUGAUCUCUACACUAUCCAUGAUCUAUUGCAUGAUCUAGCAGAGAUGGUUUCUAAAGAUCGAUAUCUUAGAGUUGAAGGAAAUCUGACAGAGGCAGUAGUACCCCAAGAGAUUCGUCAUCUUUCCCUCCGCAUCGAUACACCAAGUGAUCUUGUUGAGAAGAUAUGUAAUUUAAAAAAUCUACACACGUUGAUAAUCCUUACGAGGACUAAUGAUGAUUACAUUGAUGAUCUUCUCCACAACAUAUUUGUCAAACUAAAAAAACUAAGGGUGGUGGAUCUUGGGAAAUUCAACUUAACAGAACUACCAAAAUCAAUUGGGGACUUGAAGCAUCUGCGCUACCUUGAUCUUCAUAAGUCAUCAUUUGAAAUUUUGCCAAAAUCAGUUUCUACACUCUACCAUUUAGAGUUUUUGUCUAUGUGUGAAUGUACAUUAGGAGCAAAAAGACUAGCCAACUGGAUUAAUUUGCGGCAUUUAUAUAUCUUUCGCGUGAUUCUCAAUGUUGUUGGGAUUGGCUGCUUGAAACACCUGGAGAGCCUAAGAAAUUUUCAGGGGUAUUCAAUACAUAUUAAUGGCCUUGAGAAUGUUAAAGAAGAGGGGGAGGCCCCUGUGGAGAUAAAAGGUAUUGAGAAACUUUGUUUAGAAUGGAGUACCACCGAUAACAUUAGCAGGUCGUCGGACAUGGAUGCACAAGUACUUGAGGGUCUUCGUCCGCCUCCCCAUCUUCAGUAUCUCAAAAUCGUGGGCUAUCAGGGUUGCCUAUUGCCAAGUUGGAUGGUAGGAGACCGAUACC
rnacentral:lncRNA from 1 species